GAUGAACGCUAGCGACAGGCCUAACACAUGCAAGUCGAGGGGCAGCAUAAAGGUAGCAAUACUUUGGUGGCGACCGGCGCACGGGUGAGUAACACGUAUGCAACCUACCUGUAAGAGGGGAAUAACCCGGAGAAAUUCGGACUAAUACCGCAUAAUACCUCGAAGCUGCAUGGCUUUGGGGUUAAAUAUUUAUAGCUUACAGAUGGGCAUGCGUAUGAUUAGCUAGUUGGUGAGGUAACGGCUCACCAAGGCAACGAUCAUUAGGGGUUCUGAGAGGAAGGUCCCCCACAUUGGAACUGAGACACGGUCCAAACUCCUACGGGAGGCAGCAGUGAGGAAUAUUGGUCAAUGGGCGAGAGCCUGAACCAGCCAAGUCGCGUGAAGGAAGAAGGUUCUAUGGAUUGUAAACUUCUUUUGUAAGGGAAUAAAGUUCACCACGUGUGGUGUUUUGUAUGUACUUUACGAAUAAGGAUCGGCUAACUCCGUGCCAGCAGCCGCGGUAAAAC
rnacentral:rRNA from 1 species